CAGGCUAUUUAAAUCACCCAUAUUGAAAAAAUGUAGAACAAUUAGACACCCUGUAACCCACACCUACACACUCAUAAGCAGGCUCAGGUGUAUAAAAAAAAGGUAAGAGGGCCAACCAUGGAGAAUAAUAAGACACGUCAUUAUUUCUAUUACCACGCUAUUUUGUUUGUCCUCAUGUGUUCAUUCAUGUUUUUCAGCAUAAAGUACUCUGCAGCUACUUAGUGGACACCAGGUUAUAUCAGCUGUGUUGGUGAACCCCUCCCUCAUCUGAACUGGCUACAUAGAGGGCACAGCAUGAUCAGAGAUGUGUUUUGUUGUGAGAGAGGAUGCCAACCCCCAGUCCCAUCAUCGCAACCUCACCCGCUUUUAAGAUAACCUUCAGGCUGACUAGAGACACUUAUGUAAUUGUGAUGAACUGAGAGAAUAUUUGUGUAGCACUGAUUCAUUAUUCAUAUCCCUGCUCCUAUGUUCUUACCUCUUUCCCUUUCUGUCUUUUACACCUCUCUCGCCACCUCCUCUUUCUUCCUCUGUUUUUAUAAUUCAC